GACGGAGGGUGCUAGCGUUGUUCGGAAUGACUGGGCGUAAAGGGCGCGUAGGCGGUUCGCUAAGUUGGAUGUGAAAACUCUGGGCUCAACCCAGAGCCUGCAUCCAAAACUGGCGGGCUAGAGUUCUGGAGGGGGUAGCGGAAUUCCUGGUGUAGCGGUGAAAUGCGUAGAUAUCAGGAGGAACACCGGUGGCGAAGGCGGCUACCUGGACAGAAACUGACGCUGAGGCGCGAAAGCUAGGGGAGCAAACAGG
rnacentral:rRNA from 1 species